rnacentral:tRNA from 1 species
GGCCCUGUGGCGAAACUGGCAUACGCGCUGCACUCAAAAUGCAGUACCGAAAGGUUUGUGAGUUCAAAUCUCACCAGGGCUAC